rnacentral:rRNA from 1 species
GUGCCUAAUACAUGCAAGUCGAGCGGAGAUUUGAAAAGCUUGCUUUUCAAAUCUUAGCGGCGGACGGGUGAGUAACACGUGGGCAACCUGCCCUUGAGACGGGGAUAACUCCGGGAAACCGGAGCUAAUACCGGAUAACACAUAUCUUCGCAUGAUGAUAUGUUAGAAGGUGGCUUUUAGCUACCACUCAAGGAUGGGCCCGCGGCGCAUUAGCUAGUUGGUGAGGUAACGGCUCACCAAGGCGACGAUGCGUAGCCGACCUGAGAGGGUGAUCGGCCACACUGGGACUGAGACACGGCCCAGACUCCUACGGGAGGCAGCAGUAGGGAAUCUUCCGCAAUGGACGAAAGUCUGACGGAGCAACGCCGCGUGAGUGAUGAAGGUUUUCGGAUCGUAAAGCUCUGUUGUUAGGGAAGAACAAGUAUCUGUUGAAUAAGCAGGUACCUUGACGGUACCUAACCAGAAAGCCACGGCUAACUACGUGCCAGCAGCCGCGGUAAUACGUAGGUGGCAAGCGUUGUCCGGAAUUAUUGGGCGUAAAGCGCGCGCAGGCGGUUCCUUAAGUCUGAUGUGAAAGCCCACGGCUCAACCGUGGAGGGUCAUUGGAAACUGGGGAACUUGAGUGCAGAAGAGGAGAGCGGAAUUCCACGUGUAGCGGUGAAAUGCGUAGAGAUGUGGAGGAACACCCAGUGGCGAAGGCGGCUCUCUGGUCUGUAACUGACGCUGAGGCGCGAAAGCG